UGGUGGAGUGAUUUGUCUGGUUAAUUCCGUUAACGAGCGAGACCUCAACAUUUAAAUAGCGACGCGAGAAGCCUGACUGGUGAAAGCUGUGCGUGGCUGGGCUUCACGGCUUGGCUGCCUGCAGGGGGAUCCUUGGUUUUCUCGUGGACCGCUUCUUAUGUGGACUUCUGGCAUCCAGUCAGAGGAAGUUUGAGGCAAUAACA
rnacentral:rRNA from 1 species